GUCACAAAGUGAGCACAGUAGGUUGGUAAUUAAUCUUUAGUUCCCAGGAAGAGAUGCUUAUCCUUAAAGAAGUGCUGAUAUGUGGGGGGAGCCACAUCCCUAUCUUUAAGGGCAUCACUCUUGUCUUUGGGACACUAAAUGUUUAAAGCAGAUGUAUAAUGCAUGCUCAACAGGCCACUUCAGGCCCUUUUGGAAAAAUAAGGUCAGGCCGAAUUAGUUUUACACUAAUGGCUUCCUCAUGUACUCCAAUACAUCCUAUUGUUUUUCAUUUAUUUAUCAUUAUGCAGUAUAUGCUCCUGGCUCAGGUAGGAAACCUAAUCAGUUGGCUCAUUUGGCCUAAUCAGGGCUCAGCUAAAAUGCAAGGCUGGUACUAAAGAGGAGCGACAUACAAUAAUCCUUAAUCCUCACCAACUAUGGGCACUGUUGUCUGAAAAACACGGAGGCUGAAAACCCUUAGUUGGCAAGAAGAAUGAAGGUCUUACUGAAAAUGACGUUUUUGAGGAAAAAUAAUUGAAAUCAUGCUAAAAAUUAAAACACAGUAAAGAAGACUUUCUAGAAAAAAAUCUCUACAUUCAAAAUAAACUAGUUCUGUUCAGGUUAAAGAUUUAAUCUCAGAGGCGGUCCUCCUCCCGUUGUUCAGGAGGAGUUGGAGCGGCUUCAUGAGCCGCUGCGGUAGAUUUCCAGUUUUGUGACAGCCCAACUCUAUCCCAUUUUAUACUGUUUGAACCUACCAUUACCAACUUGAAUUGCACUUUUGGUCUUACUUGCUUUAUUUUUGCAUGUCUUGACAAAAACGUGUUGGUAAUCACCUAGUCUUUUCAUGAAUUAUUGAGGAACUUACAAACCUGUUUUGUGGUGGUUACAAGGCCGCCUGCCCUUAAAUGGAAAUAUUAUCUCUCUGCAAUAUUUCGUAGGUUAGGCCAUAUGACCUGGGCAAAGAGAGAGAGUAGCAAGAAAUAAUUUCUAUUAUGUUCUCUUGCUUAAGAGGACUAAAUAAAAUCUCAAGGAUUAAAAACAAUGUCAUGACUUUGAACAUUUCGACCUACAAUUAUGAACCAGUACUAAGGCUAAUCCUUAAAUUGGCAAGAGAUGAUGAGAGCUUUUUACUACAGGUCACGCUUGAAUUAAGUAGAUAUCUCUCUCCUCCCAUGUCUUUCUCUCCACCUCCCAUUGACCCCUCCCAAACAUUUUCGGGGGAUGCUGAGCCAAAACCAUGGUUGUAUGGAGUGAGGCAAAUAGCGGGAGCAUCUCCUACCACAGUUGCAGAAGGGAGGAGUUUGGGGAUGUGCAAGUUGGGAUCUGUGGAUAAUUCAACUGGAGAAAAGGUCUAAAUGGGUUGUCAAAACAAGGAGGGCCUGACGCUUGUUGGGGAAUCAGAUAAGAGAGUCAAGGUGUGAAAGAGAGAGACUGAGUAAAAGCAGUGGUAGGAAGGAUGAUGUGGAGGGGCUUCUUUGGGUGACUGUCAGAGAUAGGGAAGAGUGGAGCAUGGCUGCGCUUUUCCCUGUCCCUUGUGGUGGGUUAUUUGAUGGUUGGAGCCAUAUUAAGGUCUGGGGUUGAAGCCAACCAACCAUCUUCUUCUCUUCGCUCCUUUCGGCCCCUUACUUGUACAUCCUCACUUCUCCUGAGCCUUCCCUUCCCACAUGAUUUCCUGUCUCUGCUAGAACUUUGAUCUGAUUUAGAUUUUCUGGUAUAUCUGAUAGUCUUACUGUGCCAGGGCCCAGUAUCAGUGCCUCGUGUGCAGGAGGGAUGCAGGUGGGCAUGGGAUGGGGGAGAGGGAAAAUGUCACCCAUAGCUAAGGCUCAUUUCUAAAGGAGCUUUCUGCAUCCUUGAGGCCCACGCUGAACAUCCCCAAACCCCUGAGGUUUCUAAACAUUCCUGUUGGUAAUAUUCCUCCAGAGAUGUAGUGUGAUGUGGAAGACAGAGCACUGGACUCAAGUCCAGGUCUCCAGCUUCCAGUCCAAAGUUCUGUCCACAACACUGUACUUGAAAUCUUGACCAGGCACAUAAAACAGAAGGUGCAGAGUCUCUUUCUUUAAGUAGCAUGCAACAUAGUAAAGAGGAUGGCACUAACAUCCAGUGCAAUGAGAGAACAAUGCAAAAAUGAUGAAGAACUUGCAAGGUGACUUGAGUGUGGUCUGGCGUAUAGAUGCUGGGGAAAUCUGGAGGAUUAGAGCAGGAGGGUGCUGGGGGAGCUCAUCUUUGGAGCCAGGACCCAGACUCCAGGAGAAAGUUCCACAUGCACAUUAUGAUGAGGAGGAUAAAAUAAUCACUAUAAUGAUAAUAAGCCAACUACUAUUUUGAGUGCCUAUUAUAUGCCAGGAUAUUAUACUAGGUGCUUCAUUUUGGAUUAGUUUCUAUUUAUCCUUGUACAUAUCCACAAUGUAGAAAGUGUUAGCUGUAUUUUAUAGAUGGAGACCUUGAAACUCAGAUUAAGAUUCUGACCAAUGUCACAUAGCUAGUACUGGAUAGAGCAGGGGACAUGUCCCACAUCUGCCUGCUGAUACUCCUGGUGAUUUGGCUGUUAUACUGCAGUGUCUGAAAUCAGCAAUGAAAUCUUAGUCCAAACUCUUUUACUGAAUAAAGUGAAAGCAAGUCAGUCUUUCAAGAGGGCCAUCACUCUGAAUUUCAAGUUAUUUCCCUUGCUUCUUCAGUUCAUUUAUAAAAGACAUGGCCGCAAGCAUCCUCCCAAUAGGAUGCUUAACCAGAGAGUAAACUGAAGACAGGAGACUCUGGAAUUUCUUUAUGUGCCUUAUUUCCAACUCCCUUACUGGGCUCAAGAUAACCUAUUAAGCCAUGUGGUCAAAAUAAAUUGACAGAAAUAUUUAUUAUUUCAAUUUACAUUCUAAAUCUUUCAUCUCUCUUAUUGAUUUUAUUUAAGAAUCUAAGUUUAAUUACUAAGUGACAUACUAGUUAUUAAUUCCAUUUGUUUUUGUAAAAGAAAGCACUGUAAUUGGAAUAUAAACCUCGCAUGCUCCGUGGUUGGCUGCCUUCAUUUCAGCUGUGUAGGAUUGGUCUGCUCCAGAGGUAGCAUCUUCUCCUGGCAGCAGGGACACCUCCACUCUGAGCCAGCCUUGGGGUAUCACCCCCUCUGGCCUUGUUCAGUUUGUUGUGACAAGAGAAGGCUUUUUGUGAUGCUGCUUUUGAAGACAUCACCAAACUAUGAAAGCCAUGGAGAUGGUGUGUACACUGUGUGCAUCCAUGAGGAAUGAGGGGAAUGGUAUGUGAUCUAAGUAAGAGUGAGUGUGUGUGUGUGUGUGUGUUUGAUAGAGAGAGGAUAAAAACCAGCAUUACUGAGCACCAGCUUUCUGCCAGGCACUGCUAGGUGCUUUACUAAAUCACACAUCAUCCUCACAAUGUUGAAAGGUAUGUGAUACCAUCACCAUGUAAUAGAGGGGAAAACUGAAACUGAAAGGAAAGAGACUUACCGAAGGCUGCAGAGAAAUCCAGCUGACACCCAAGCAUGACCACCUUCCUCUACAGCUUGCUCAGAUAUUUACGGAGAGCCUAACCUUGUGCUAGUGGAGUCAGGAGGGGCAUAAGUCUGCAAAGUGGGGAGACGACAGAGCAAGACUUUGUUCACAAUCAUGGAACAUCUACACUGAGAAAAAGGGCCCAAGCUCCCUGUUUACCAGUUAGGAGUCAAAGCCAAAGGCUUAACUGAAGUAGUUUUUGCUAAAAGAACACAACUUUUAUAUUCCAAAGAGUCAAAACGUGAUUUUAUUCAGCAUGUAAUUCUAAGAAGUGUGACCAUUUAGAAGUCCUACUGGCAGUAAUAUAAAAUAAAGCAAGGGGAGAUGACACUGGAGAGUAGGUGAUCUGACUAUGAAGACAAAAAUAAAGUCUACAGUUGAUAUAAAUCUAAGCUACCUCACACCACGAGAACAUAUAUUCAAACAGUAAACAUGAGGCAUCAAGAGAAGAUCAGUUUAUGUUAAGAAACAUGUCUUUAGAAGAUCAGGAAUUGUUAUUACACAGUAAAAAUAUUUCCAUCCAAAAUGGGAAUAUGUGGUUACAAAGAGAGUUAUAGACGUGAAUAUAAUAUACCUGAAGUUUGAAGCUUCAGGUCAGAGCAGUAGGUAGAGUGGAAACGCCCAUCCCCUUGAAUUUAGAAGAAAUUUGCUGGAGUCCAGGCUUUCCCCUUGCUGGCCAUAUAUUCUUGCACUUUACCAAUCUGUUCUGUGGUUUUUCCCUUUAUACAAUGAAAAAGACAACCCUAACCCAUCUUAUCUCCAAGAUGGCUACCGAUGUGUUUGAUAAAUUCUGAUAAUCAUGGUCAUGGUCACCAUCAAGAAACUCUCCUUAUUUCCUGGCAAUGCAGGCUUUAAAAAGUAGCACUUGGAUGUGACUGGUAAUCCCAUUAUAGAUUUCUUCUUCUCACUGUUUCCAGAGUCCUCUCAACCCCAGGCAAAGAGAAUUUUGCAUUUUGGCUUUUACAAGGGAUGUGGCUAUGAACAUUUUGUGCACACGUUCUUGCAUUUCUUGAAUACAUUUGCCCAGCAAUGAAAUUGUUGAUAGAAAGGAUUUGUACAUCUUUGGGCCUGAUAAAGUGAAACAGCUAUUCUACCAGAGACAUGGGUUCGUUCAGAUGACUUGUGGGGUCACUACCAUAAUCUAAUGAGGUUGUCCUAUUGUGGCUUAUGUGUAAAUCCAUUUCCCUGUAAGUCUUCCCUGGAGGAGUCAUUCCCAGGACGAGAGUUCUUAAGAUAGGAAAUUGGACUGGAUAGGAAGGCCUUAGAUGAAGAAUAACACCUGCCUCUUUCCAGUCCUCCUUCUCAAGUUAUAGCACCUGGACAAUCUGAGACGACAGUUUCCAAUCAGGGGUGGGAAGGUUCUGAUCCUGGCUCUUUGUCACUAGCUUGCAUUCAGCUACCUUCUCACUGUGAUCAGGACUGUCUCCCCUGUUGGACCAAGAAAGUCCAAUGAGAGGUUUUGGAGACCGUAUUUGUCUUGGAUCCAAAUUUUAUUUCCAUAUAAGGCCCUCACUUGUCUGCUUCUUCUCCCACAUACUCUAGCUUGGCAUAACAUUUGAUUCUUCCAACUCUGCUGACUCCACGUUACCAGAUGUACAAUUCAUGGUGGAAGAGAGCCUCCCUUCCUUAGGAAAGUUAAAUGUUCCUUCUCACUCAGCUCCAGACUCAUCAGUUGAAGACUUCUCUAUUUCCUGUAAGACCAAACAGGAGGCUUCAGCACAUAGCCAAUACUUCUCUGAAUUUUUGUAUCACCUCCUCUAAAGCUAUAUCUUUGAGGGUACAUGAUCAUCUCUGCAAAGUCAGUAUAAGUUAGUUGGUUUCACUAAAGUUUUUCAAAUGUAGGACCGAGAUCUGUAACUUCUCAGCCUGACCUAGGAGAGUCUUAUCGCUAUUUUUUACUGACUCCAACAGUUGAGCCAAUUCCCCAUUUUAGGGUCUAUUUUAAGAACUCCCACUUCUUGCUGCCUAAUUCUAUAUCAGUUAGGAUUCUUGAAGAGAAUGAGUCUCCUCCGUUCUUCGCCCAGCAAAUACAACACCUCCUUUUUAUUUUAAAUAGCUUGUAAUAUCCCCUUUACUAUUCUGCAAUUGAAUUCAUAGUUUAAUCCACUGAUCAUAUAAUUACGAAAAUAUAUCAUGCCCUAACAGCAGUGUAGUGGAGACAUAAAAAGAAGGUAAUUUACAAUAGAAAGAUACAUACAUAUUGAUAUGUAAAUGUCAUCUCACAAUUACACUGGUACCCAUGAAGAUGUUUUCGGGAGUUUGGACCGGGAGAUAGAAUUACCAUGAGUAUGACAGCUAUAAAUGCAGACUAAUAAAGGAGUAUUGUGUUGACAACUCAAGCCCCAUUGGUGCCAUUGCCAUUGGUGACAUGAUUUUCUGAAAAGGUGAACAAAUCUUGGAAGACUUUCAAACGAAAGUACAAUCUUCCCUUGAUUUAAACAAUGGAAAAUUUGGUGUGUAUUAAAACUAUACACAAAGUAAAAAUACUUUGUAUGUAUGUGAAAUGGAGUUAAGCUCUAGGCUCAGAUAAUAAUAAAUAGGUUUAUCACCUACCUGGAAUCCCAGUGGGUCACUAAGAAAUUGUGCUGGAUGAAGGAAGAAUUUUUGUCAUGCAAGCUUAUCCCAUAAAUUCUAACUUCCUUGAUCUCCAUACAUUAAAUGCCAGGCUCACCUCCCAAUUACUGUGAUAAUAAAGACAUCCUUACAAUUUUCCAAAAUGGCCACCCAUUGAUGAACAGCUUUAGGUCAACUAAAAAAAAAUUAGAGGGGAUUGCUGUGAUUGUCUUUCAGUCCCUCUGUCUGCAAGAGUUUCAACCUAAAUCUAGCAGCAAGAUGGCUGCAGUACUUCUGGGAUUCUCAUCUGUACAAAACCUCAUCCAGAGGAAGAGAAACACCACAUGUUCUGGUGGCUCUUUAUAGAAAAGAAACUAUUUUUGCGGAAGUACCUGGAAAUAUCCCUUAGGUCUCAUCAGACCAAGUUGUAGUCUUAGAAUUCCUGAACCAAUCAAUAGAAUUACUCUAACCAAUCAGACUCACUCCUGGAACUGGGAGUGAGGUCAGCUUUCCUUAAAGCACAGAUGUGGAUGGAAAUGUGUGGAUAUCUGAAUAAAAGUCAGGAAUGAAGGGAGAAAUGGAUUCUGGGUAGGCAACCAAAAUGUUCCCUGCAUAUUUGCAGAGUUGAGGAUUGAUUUUAUUCAGGGAGAUUCCAGGUUUGUUGGUGCCUUGAAAGACCACCUGGGCCGGAGGUUACAUAUAUGUGUGUGCAAUGGAUUCCAAAGGCAUAGUUGGAGUAGCUGAGAAUGGGAGGUGGGAGCCCAGGAAAGGAGGAGGCGGGCGCCACAAGUCUGGACGAGCUGCCUUGUAAAAGGAUCAAAGCUCUUUGAGAUCCCUCUGCCAAAGCUCUUGCAGCGUGUGACAGGAACCCAGGUGAAAGAUGGGUGUGAGUGGAACUGAAAGAGACCCCUUGAUGAUUUCCUGAGGAAAUUCACCUGUUUGGCAAUGACUUUGCUCCGCAAGUUUUCCUCCUGCAUCCACAUGUCCUCAUCAACUCCAAACUCAAAGGAAAGCAUGAUGGUUGUGAAACUGAAAAGCAACUUUCAGCGUAUGCAGAUUUGGAACUCAUAAUGCCACCAGCCUGAAACUACUGUUAAUAUUUUGGUUCAACUUCAGUUAUCUGGAAAAGGCCAAGAAGCCAGAGGAGUGAGGCAUUGUUUCAAAUCAUAAACUGACAAGAUUUGAUUAAACGUCAUCAUUUGCCCAGCAUUGUACGUGUACAAUGAAGAACCAAAGACUGGACUCUCAAGGAAGCAAAGAGACAAAAGUGACACAGCCACAAUGCUCAGCAUGCAAGUUAGCACCCAACUGACGGGCCCAGAUCAUGAGAAUUAUAGGCCCUUAGCACACUGAGGAGAGACUGGGGAGGAUCGAGAUUAGUAAAGAGAAAUAGAAGGUUCUCUAGCCAAUGGAGACAACUCAAGCAAAGGCCCUGGAAUGGGACUGGCAAGAAGAAGUGAGACCAGCCGAGUUCAGUCGAGGAACGGGUAGGAUAAUGUAUCUCAUGGUAAGUCAGAUUAUGGGGACUGUUGACAGUCGGGCAGAAGUACUUGGCUCUAGAUAUGGUAGGCAAGACAAAGGAACAAAUAAGCUUAUGGGUGAGUUGGGCAAUUAUGUAGUCUAGUGGCUACUAAACAGUCAAGUCACAAAUAACCUGAUGGUAUUGGUGUGUUCCAUGUGAGAGUGCAAGUGCCCAAUGUCUGGAAUCCCCUCACUUCUCUCUGUUCAACCCCCACCCAACCACAUCCUGGGAAGUGGGCAGUAGGUUAUACUGAGUGCAUUGCACAGAUUAACUAACUCGGUCUUCCUCCCAAGGAUCUUCCUCGAAUGCCUCACCUCAGAAAGAUCUAACACAACAAAUAAAACAAAAGCAGUGAAGAUAGCGACCUGUGAGGACCAAAGCCAUCUAUGCAGAACUCCAGGGAGCUUCUGCACCGGCAACCGGCACAGAGAGUCAAAAUCCUCUUCUGCCUUCUUCACUUUUCUCAGUCCUCAGGACACCAAGCUUCUAACUGACCAUGCUUCCAUAGCAUGCCCACACUUCGCCUGCACUUCCUUUAGGCUGACGUCGACACUCCCCCUGCCAUGCAAUGCUCUAUACUCCCAGGUGAAGAGUUUCCCUUCCCACUGGGCUGGAUGAUUCUGGGACCUAAGGAUCUGCUCAGAAGAGCAGAUGCUCAGUGAGUGCAUAUUAAACAGCUCUAGUGCUCCUUCCCUGGUUUUAUAAUCUGGUCCACAAAAUUCCUGGUAGCCAUCUUCAACAACAUUGCAAAACAACAUGGACCUUUAAAAGAAAGUCUGAGCAUCAGUUAACACAACUUGAAUACAAGAAAUCCCAGCAGCUCACAAUCUUUCACCCUUUUCCAAAACAUCCUGUGGGUCAGCAACAUCCCUCUAACAUGCAGAGUGAAAGGAAGAUCUCCUCUCAGAUCUUACUGCAGGCCCCCCAUUGGGGUCUUUGGGAGAUAGUCACCCAAAUGGCCUGCAUUUGAAGUUGGCAAGACCACCCCAGAAACAGCAUCUGUCCAUGUUCCUUUCACCAAGAUCCGUGGUCUGCUGAUUGUUGAGACUUGGGUUCAAGUGUUGACUUCCCUUUUUUUUUUCUUAAAGAUUUUAUUUUUCCUUUUCCUCCCCAAAGCCCCCCGGUACAUAGUUAUAUAUUUUUAGUUGUGGGUCCUUCUAGUUGCAGCAUGUGGGACACCGCCUUAGCAUGGCCUGAUGGGUGGUGCCAUGUCCGCACCUAGGAUCCAAACCAGCAAAACCCUGGGCUGCCACGGUGAAGUGCGCAAACUUAACCAUUUGGCCACGGGGCCGGCCCUCUUGACUUCCCUUUUAUGGGCUAAAGUUUUGUCAACUCACUGUACCUCAGUGACAUGGCGAGUGUCCCUUCUGCUUGUGUCAUCCCUGCCUCAGUCUUUCCUGCCCACGUGCAGUGUUGCGCUGCAAUACAACAGGGAGAUGGGAAGGGCUUGCUGAGUCAAACUGGAGGCCAAGCAGAGGCAGCUUUGCCUACGUGAAGUGCUCCACCCUCUCAGCCUUUCCUAUUGAAACCACACUCUCACUGACUCUCUCUUCCACUAUCAGCUUCCAGACAGAUCCGGUGUCUCCAAAUGCUCUGUUCUUCUCAGGCAAGACUUUCAGCUGCACAGUCCUACCUUCUUUCUCUUUUCUUUCUUUCACACCCCAUAACCAAAUCUGGUCAACUAUAUUUUUAAAUCAUAUACCCAAACCAAUCACUUCUCACACCAUUCGUCACUACCACCCUAGUAGCCAUCAUCAUCUCUCAGUUGGAUUAUUUCGACAGUCCCCAAAUUGGUCUCCCUGCUUUCACCCUUGUGCUGACUGCACAUAAGAGCCAGGGGGGUCCAUUUGAAAUGUAAGCCAUGUCCUGUCCCUCCUCCUCCAGGGGCCUUCGAUUUACUCAGAGUAAAAUCACCUUCUCUCUAAAGGCCUUACGGCCCUAUGAUCUGGUCCCCAUCUCCUACUCUCCUCCUGCUUAGACUCCACCCACUCUGGCCUCCACACAGCCAGGCACCCUGCUACCUCAGGGCCUUUGCAUUUGGAUUAUUUUUCUGCUUGAAAUUCUUUUCUCCAAGAUACCCAUAUAAUUUGUUUCUUCUCUUCUUCCCAGGUUUGCUCAAAUGUCACCUCAUCAGAGAGUACUCUCUGACCUCCCCAUGCAAAAUGCACCUCCAUGGAAGUCUCUCUCUCCCUCUUGCUGAUUCAUUUUUCUUCCUGGCACUGAGGGCCAGCUAAUAUUUUAUAUAUUUAUUUAUCUCUUUACUGUCUUUCUCCACCCCACCCCCACCCCCCCAAGCCUCCAGAAUGUUAGUCCUUUAAGUACUGAGAUUUUGCUUUUUACCACCAUAUUCCCAGAGCUUAGAACAGUGCCUACCACAUUAAAGUGCUCAAUAAAUAUUUGCUGAAUGAAUGGUGAACCAAUAGAAGGUUUCAGGACGCUGUGUUCUGUCAUAUUUUUGUGUCAUAUUUUUCUAAAUGAUUUCCAAAAUUAUCAGGGGAUUCUCCAUAGGACCUGUGCUCGAUCAUUUUAAGGAACUAUGCAAACUUGAGUAGACAUCAGGAGACCUGUGAUUGCAUCCCAGCUGUGGGGUUUCACCUACCUGAGGCUCACUUUCUUUCCUCUGUAAAAUGGACAUACUAAUUCCUGUUUCGUUUCUAUUACAUUUGCAAAAGCCAAAGUCGUGGAGGCCUCCCAUGGGCUGUAGUCAAAUAGUGACCGGAGUGGCCAUCCCUCUCGUCUCGAGAAAGUUGAGUUCAAUGAAAUGACAAAUGAAGGGAAGGAGUGGUCGUAAAUUUUGUCAACUGUGAGUUGCUAAUGACCCAGCAUGAGCAUUCUUGCUCAAGGCCACUCAGCUACAAAGAGGGUGUCCAUAAAAGGAACUUCUUGUCCAUUGAUGCCCCACCCCUGCAUAUUCUAGUGGGUGUUUUCAGGGCCCCAACUGAACGCAAGCUUGCAUUUGUGGCGGUUGCCUAGCACUUGGCUGAAUCUUCGUGAAGAGUGUUUAUAGGCCUAGAACACACACGGCAACCUGUCCUCCUCUCCAACCUUGCAGACCUGCUACAAUAAUUAAAUGAGAUAAUGCUUGUACAGGGCUUCACACAGCAUCAGAAAUACAACUAUUGUUAGCCUAAACCUGCUAAACUUUGACUAAUGCCAAAGCUGGUGUAUAACUGGUACUAGAAAGAACUUGGAGGGAUGAAGAAAAAGGAGAGAAGAAGAGAAUAAAAAAGUAUUUUUUUAUUUCAUCUACAAAGCUAUAUUUUCACUUUGUGUAUUUAAGCAACCAGAUAUUUCCCGAACAUGUUUAGAAAUCACAGAGAUGCUGUGUAAGACACAGACCCUGACCUUGAGCUAUGCUGUAGGAAGACUAAUUCAGAUGUGGGUUAUAGGAGAGACUAGAACAGGGAUAGGCUGAAGGCAGGGGCACUGGAUGUUGGCUGUUGUGGUUCAGGUGAGAAAUUGUAUGGGACUAAAAGCUGAUGGUCACAGUAAGGAUGGUGAAGAAAGAAAAAAUACAAGGGACGUUUGGAGGGAAAAUAUGAUAGAGCUUUGGUGACAAGUUUUCGUUCCCUAACCACUUCAUUCCUUCAUUUCCUUUUACUGUGCUUUAGAUGCCAGGCUCUGCAGCAUCCACUGGAAAUGUAAGGAUAUGAGCAUCAUGAGAAGUUGCAUUGUUUUGUCCUCCCACGAGCCAGAUAGAGUAUUAGGAAGUCUAUAGACAUCAUGGCAUUUAAUGUUCAGAAGGUCCCUGUCACUCAGAAUGGUCAUUCCCACUCUUAGUUACAGAAACUGGAGCUCAGAGACAGAGGGUAAACAACAUGCUCAAGCCACACAGCAAGGCUGAGCUGGAGUUAAAAUCCAGGUGUGUGAAUUCUAAGCCUGGCUCUUUCUACUGCAUCAGAGAUGACUAGGGCACGGCUCAUGUCACCGAAGGAGCUGGAGUCUAGAAAGCUGAAAGUGGGGGGCAGAGAUGAUGGAAGGUUGUAACAGGGCAUACCGAGAGCCUCUGACAUAGAAGAAAGGGUCAGAAGGAGAAGGAAAAUUCCAAUACGUUUAAGCUGUUGAAUCUGAAGGAUUUAACUUGCCACCAACUCUGCGAGAAGGCAUGGGCUGUACUUGAGAAGUGGCUGGGCUGUGCCUCCACAGGUUGGGGGCACGAAUUCUGGCUCCUCCACUCCUUGCUGCAUGACCUUGGGCAACUGACUUUUGUCAAUGGGGCUGGGUUUUCUCACCCACCAGGAAUGUUGGACUAAGCAUUUCCCAAAGUCCCUUCCAUGUCUACGCUGUGGUAGCACAUGAGCGGGCUGAUUAACAAUGAGAAGUGAAUAGGAGGGAGAUUCAGCUGGCUUUUUUUGAUCUUUUUUCUUUGAUCAAUAUUUCAAAUGAAAACAUGAAAUGUUUCUUUCAUUGCUUUCCAGUUCAUCCCUAAAGUGUGAGACACGGAAUCAAAAGGUUGGGGUCCUGGAAGGAUGUCUACAAGGAAUCUCAGGGGGAAACCAGGCGAGGAGCCUAGACUAGGCCUUCUUCUCUGGAGCCCAUGACAUCACUCACAUUUCCCUGGAGUUUUGGGAACAGAACAUACCAUUAACUUUAUCUGAGUAGAGAGAGGCGCAGUUGUAGACAACAGGAUGCCCACGGAUAAAGGAUGCAGCCUGGCCCCCUGCUCUCAGCACUGCAAAUGGGGAAUGGAUGAGCCAGGAGAUGGGGAUGGGGUGAAAAUGGAUGUGGAGAAAGCACACACUUCUCCCAGCUGACACUCAGUGCCUUUCAGCCAGCACUCCAUGUGGGUGAAUGGGAAAACUGAAUACCCAGCUAUAGCCGGAGGCAGAGCUAUUAUGCGCGUCUGGGCGAAAGCAAAAUUGGGGCCGAGAAUGGACUUCUGUUCAGGCAGGACUUUCAAAGGGUUUGGUGCCCACACUGAUAGUUUCUGUUGGCACCAACGAUGUCUGUUCACUUGAAACUGAACCUCGCCAUUAACUCGGUUUCCGCCUACCUGCUUUCUCUGGCUCUCUCUUUCCUUAGACUUCACUGAACAAUAUUAACAAAUAGGACAUUUUUUUUUACCCAAUUUCUGGUGAAAAUACAUUAGACUCCUAACAGGAGUGUGCUCAAGCCAGCUUAUGAGCUGACUGUUAAGUUUUCAGAAAAUUUUCUGGCUGGUUGUUAAACAUAGCCGUUAUAAAAAUUAAAUUACAUAACAAUUAAAUAAAUUAUAACAAAAACAAGAGUCAUAAGUACUCAAAAUCACCAUUUCUUAAUUAUUUUACCCCAUUUUACUAUUAUCUAUGUUGUUGAGGUUACUUACAUCUGUGUGGUGAAAAUAUUAUACAAUGGUGUGCACGUAUUUUCGCAACUCCGUGUUCAGUGAAUUUAUCUUGGUAGCUCUAAAUUGGUCAUGGUUGGAGGUAUUUACAUCAUGAAAAUCUGCAAACAUUACAAAUCAGGGCUUGAUUUAUUGAUUUGUUGAUUGUCUAGACAUCAGGGAAUGAUGGGUAAAAUGCUAAUAAUGGAAAUUAAAUUAAAAGUGGAGCCAUUGCAUUGUGAAUAACACACACAAAACAUGGAGCAGUAUUAUUUUAGUAUUCAAAAACAAUGAUCUGAGUCAGCAAAGAAGUUGCUCAUGUCAUUGACAAGUAAGUGAGAUGCCAACACAUACCUUCGUCGUUUCACUUUCAUCUUACUCAUUAGCUAAAAUGAAAGUAUCAACUCAUACUCAUGUCUAAGCUACAUGCAUUGUUCAUCAAUAGCUAUCAUAAGUUGGCAACAGAUGCACGAGUUUGGCAAAAAUCAGUGAAAGCAUUCUGUGGGAAUUGAUUGCCUAUGUGGAAUUUACAACAAAGAAUUGUAAAUUACAUACUACACAUAAUUUAUAUUAGUAAAAUUUAUAAUCAACUUAUGUAUUAUAUAUAUAUAUAUUCAAUUUACGUACACAUCUAUAUCUCUAUUUCAAUUUUUUCCUCCCAGAGCGCUGGUUGGCACAUAUUGACCAGCAUACCACUAGCUCUUAGGGUCAUCGUUUGACUGAUAGGAAAAAGGAGACUUAUAUAUAAUGUCGCUAUUUGUGACUUUGGGCCCAGACAGCACUGGGCCCAGAGUAGAUACUCAAGUUAAGCGACUUGGAGACUAUAUCAAGAUUUUAUAAUGUUAUUAGAUUAUAUUAAAGUACUCUAUCAUUUUUAUCUCCAGUGCUUUCUAUUGACUUGCUAACAUAGCCAUUCAUUCCCUAUCUCCAAAUAAAAAUUUCUGCCUACAGUCUUUGACACUGAGGAUUCCUAGCAGGGUAGAAAUGUGGAAUGAAGUUGGAGCCAGAGGCGUAGAGCUUAGAAAGAGAAAGCAGGCUGGGAGCUUUCUCCCUUGAAAGCUUAGGUGUCCUGGGAGUGAGAUUCCACGCCAGAAUAAGUCAGCAGACAUCAUUAAAGGCUGGACUUCUGGCAGCCCCUUGCAUCAAACUAUUUUACCUCCCUCUGAGUACACACCAAGCACUCUAUAAAUGCAGAGUCCACAGGGAGUCAACACAAGACUGAUGAAGAGAGUGCUCUAUGUCUUCUUUAGUGCUCAGUGCUUUAUAUCCAUUAACUUUCACCCUUAAAUAGCCCUCUGCAGCCAGUAUUAUCUGACUCCAUUUUACAGAUAAGUAAAAGGGGCAAAGAUGUUAAGCAUCUUUUAACAACUAACAUUUAGCAGGUCUGAUUGUUAGCUGACCCUCGUUUAUGGGCCUCUCCAAUUCCGAUAGCUGUCUUCUUGCUCCGCACCACUGUGAGGGAGGUGGUACAUGAGAGCUGGUGCAUGGGUAGAGAAGGAGGUGUGGGC
ensembl:lncRNA